rnacentral:rRNA from 1 species
GAUGAACGCUAGCGAUAGGCUUAACACAUGCAAGUCGAGGGGCAGCAUUAUUUUAGCUUGCUAAGAUAGAUGGCGACCGGCGCACGGGUGCGUAACGCGUAUGCAACCUGCCUGUAAUUAGGGAAUAACCCGGUGAAAGUCGGACUAAUACCCUAUAUUCUUCUUUCUCCGCAUGGGGGAGGACGGAAAGAUUUAUUGAUUACAGAUGGGCAUGCGUCCCAUUAGCUUGUUGGUAAGGUAACGGCUUACCAAGGCAACGAUGGGUAGGGGGACUGAGAGGUUGACCCCCCACACUGGUACUGAGACACGGACCAGACUCCUACGGGAGGCAGCAGUGAGGAAUAUUGGUCAAUGGGCGAGAGCCUGAACCAGCCAAGUCGCGUGAAGGACGACGGUUCUAUGGAUUGUAAACUUCUUUUGUAGAGGAAUAAUGGCAGCUACGCGUAUGCUGAGAUGCAUGUACUCUACGAAUAAGUAUCGGCUAACUCCGUGCCAGCAGCCGCGGUAAUACGGAGGAUACGAGCGUUAUCCGGAAUUAUUGGGUUUAAAGGGUGCGUAGGUGGCGUAUUAAGUCAGUGGUGAAAAGCUGCAGCUCAACUGUAGUCUUGCCGUUGAAACUGAUAUGCUAGAGAGGAGACGAGGUAUGCGGAAUGUGUGGUGUAGCGGUGAAAUGCAUAGAUAUCACACAGAACGCCGAUUGCGAAGGCAGCGUACCAGGCUCCGUCUGACACUGAAGCACGAAAGCGUGGGGAUCAAACAGGAUUAGAUACCCUGGUAGUCCACGCAGUAAACGAUGAAUACUAGAUUUUUGCGAUAUAGUGUAAGAGUCUAAGCGAAAGCGAUAAGUAUUCCACCUGGGGAGUACGCCGGCAACGGUGAAACUCAGAGGAAUUGACGGGGGCCCGCACAAGCGGAGGAACAUGUGGUUUAAUUCGAUGAUACGCGAGGAACCUUACCCGGGAUUGAAAUUUAGAUGGCGGCAGAUGAGAGUUUGCUUU